rnacentral:misc_RNA from 1 species
GAUGAAGAACGUAGUGAAAUGCGAUAAGUAAUGUGAAUUGCAGAAUUCAGUGAAUCAUCGAAUCUUUGAACCCACAUUGCGCCCCUUGGUAUUCCGAGGGGCAUGCCUGUUCGAGCGUCAUUUUGACCACUCCCGCUUGCGGGGUCUUGGGCCUUCGCCUCUGGGCGGGCCUUAAAAUCAGUGGCGGUGCCGUCCGGCUCUAAGCGUAGUAAAUCUCCUCGCUAUAGGGUUCCGGAGGGAUGCUGGCCAACAACCCCCAACUUUUAAGGUUGACCUCGGAUCAGGUAGGGAUACCCGCUGAACUUAAGCAUAUCAUAAGCGGAGGA